UUGUACAAGUGUUUAUGAAGAAGGAGAUGCUCGAUCUGCAUUAAUCACCAUGCUUCAAUCUCUUCAACAUGCUAAAAAUGGUGUUGACAUAGUCUCUGAAACACGUGUUAAGACUCAUUUUGCUAGACCUAAUUGGCGUAAAGUUUUCAAGCAUGUAGCUGUUAAUUAUCCUGAUCAAAGAGUUGGAGUGUUUUAUUGUGGUGCACCUGGAUUGACCGGAGAACUAAGAAGGCUAGCUCAAGACUUUUCCAGGAAAACUACUACCAAGUUUGAUUUUCAUAAAGAGAAUUUCUAAUAAAUUAUUUUUUAAAAAUAAAUAUAUUUUUUUAAAAUGUAAUUUUGCCCCUUUUUUUUUCUUAUAUACUUAAAAAA
rnacentral:misc_RNA from 1 species